UAAUGUGUGCUUAUAGAAAUGAAGAUUGCCACAGAAUGCAGGUCAACUAUUCCUUAACUAUGAAUAGUUAUAGUUCUGUGGGAAAAAUUUCAAGUCGACCAAUUUAUUGUCUAUGUCGGACACCUUCUGAUCGAGCGACAAUAAUUUCUGACCGAGAGUCUCGGGUGAUGGAUCUCUUCGAGCAUGGUGAAUCGCUUGAUCCGUCGGCGUCGGGGAUGUUUCGUCCAACGAAUGCGACUGGGAAUCUGUGCAAAACAAAGAAAAGGAACAAAGGAAAGGUAACGAGUAGCAAUUUUCGAGUAACGCAACCAACCGAUCGCGCUUACCUUGCGAACAAAUGUGUCUGUUCGUUUGACUUUGAUCGGCGGUAUCGUCGUUGUCGCUGAGAGCUUCCUCCGGACAAUACGGUUCGGCACCGCUAUCUUUAAAUUCACCGACAGACUUUUCAGCACGGAACUUUGCCACCAAUCCCCUGUACUGCAGAUACGCUGCACUUUGCUUUUGGUGCAGAAACCUUGAUUAAAACAAUACUUAAGACUCUGACGAGUAACAUAUUCUCCUAUAUUAGCUUCCUUUGUUAAACGAGAAAAGAAUCGAUGAUAAUACAGAGAGAAAAUGGUGUAGAAGGAAAAAAAAUGUCAAGUCCUCGAAGCGACAGCACGACAAGUAUCGUAACUUUCGGUAAUCGAGUUUUCAUUGAAAAAUAUCGCAGCGUUGCUACGAAUAAUUGUCGCGUGGUUGGUGUUUGAAUCGCGUAAAAGAGGUAAAAAGCGAUCGAUAGGGAACGAAUGAUGUGUAUGUAAUGGGUAGGUAAAAUGUAACGCUACGCUACGCGACGUGUCGAGACACGAGACAGGGACCAGUGAGGACAGUAGUUACCAUAAUUUAGGAUCUUGGGCAUUCUUCUCUCGCGCUUCCUGUUCGAUUUCAUCCCCGCAGUCAGCGACGAUGCGUGCCAGCUGCUCAGCCUCUACGGGACACACUUAGAAGCCUUUGUCAGACAUGCGUAACAACGCUAAAACUUUUAUUUGUGUUUCUGUAGCGUACAACCUACUACGCGUAUGUCUACACGGAUGCUCGACAGAUAUGUUUUUACAUAUCUCACCUUCUUCCACGUGUCUUCUAU